UACGAAGGGGGCAAGCGUUGUUCGGAAUUACUGGGCGUAAAGGGCGCGUAGGCGGCCUGCUAAGUCGAACGUGAAAUCCCCGGGCUCAACCCGGGAACUGCGUCCGAUACUGGUGGGCUUGAAUCCGGGAGAGGGAUGUGGAAUUCCAGGUGUAGCGGUGAAAUGCGUAGAUAUCUGGAGGAACACCGGUGGCGAAGGCGGCAUCCUGGACCGGUAUUGACGCUGAGGCGCGAAAGCUAGGGGAGCAAACAGG
rnacentral:rRNA from 1 species